rnacentral:rRNA from 1 species
CAGUAGCCGCGGUAAAACGAACCGUGCGAACGUUAUUCGGAAUUACUGGGCUUAAAGCGCGUGUAGGCGGGCCGCCACGUCGGUUGCUGAAAUCCCCCGGCUCAACCGGGGAAGUGGCAUCAAUACGAGCGGCCUUGAGGGGGGUAGGGGGAUCUGGAACUUCCGGUGGGGCGGUGAAAUGCGUUGAGAUCGGAAGGAACGCCCGUGGCGAAAGCGAGGUCCUGGACCCUUUCUGACGCUGAGACGCGAAAGCCAGGGGAGCGAACGGGAUUAGAUACCCGUGUAGUCCCUGUCUCUUAUA